rnacentral:rRNA from 1 species
UACGUAGGGUGCAAGCGUUAAUCGGAAUUACUGGGCGUAAAGCGUGCGCAGGCGGUGAUGUAAGACAGAUGUGAAAUCCCCGGGCUCAACCUGGGAACUGCAUUUGUGACUGCAUCGCUGGAGUGCGGCAGAGGGGGGAUGGAAUUCCGCGUGUAGCAGUGAAAUGCGUAGAUAUGCGGAGGAACACCGAUGGCGAAGGCAAUCCCCCUGGACCUGUACUGACG